rnacentral:lncRNA from 1 species
CCCUAAUCCUAUAAUCUUAUUCCUCAAAAGUUCACAGGUUGAAGAGUAUGGUGGUAUGCCAUCAUCAACCAUCAUUUCAAAAUACCUACAUGCAUCCUCUAGCUUCCCUUUCUUCCUACAAAGUCCAUGAACCAUGACCGCAUAUGUCGAAGCUGAUGGAUGAAAACCGCUCGAUUCCAUCUUCUCCCAUUGCGCUGUGACCCUAUCAAACCGCCCUACGCGAAUCAACAUCUUUAGCAGCAUGUUGUACGUAUGACGAUCAGGGUCACACGAGUCUUGAUCCAUUCUCGAUACCAAUUUAGUCGCCAUGUUUACUUCCAACCGGUUACAAUGAAAAGCUAAGAGAGCAUUGUAGCUCCACACAUCCGGUUUCACUUCUCUCUCGAGCAUUUCAUCUAACAGUUGGUACGCUUCAUCAAUUUUAUCGUUUUUACACAGUCUGUUGAUUAUCGCGUUGUAAGUAAACACAUUCGGUACAAGAUUAUACCUUUUCAUCCUAUCAAGAACCCGGAACGCAGAAUGAACAUCGUUCGCGUUACAAGCAGCAUGAAUAAAAAUCGAAUACGUGAACGCAUCUGGCUCAAGCCCUUUCGACCUCAUACCGCGAAACAACCUGUAGGCUUCUUCCACAUUCCCUCCUUUACACAAUGACUCCAAUAUGCUAUUAUAGGCAUGCACAUCCACACAACAUCCUCUCACAAGCAUUUCAUCAAACACCUUCUGUGCCUCUUUUGAUUCUCCAAUGUAGCCCCAACCCCUCACCAAAAUGCUGUAACUUUUCACACUUGGAUUAUAUUCAUGCUUGAUUUUAUCAAAGAACAACUGUGCUUCCCUCACAUGCCUCCUCUUACAAAGCACAUACAAAAGCUGAUCUAAAUCAUUAACACUCGGUUUUAUCCCAUAAUCAACCAUAUUAUUAAAAGCCCUAAUCGCAUCAGAGGGUAAAUUAGCUCUACUGUAACCAUUAAAAAUUACCCAGAAGAUUUCUGAGCUGAUUUCACAGGAUUGGGAGUCCUUAAUUUCUCCGAGAAAGUCCCAAAUUAAUGGGAACUGUUUGCUUCUACCUAAUAUAUCUAUAAGAAUGUGAUAGCUGUCUUUGCUAUGUACAAAAUGGGGUAAGUUUUUAGCCCAGAGAAAGAACCUGUGAGCAGAGAAACCAAGAUUGUUGCAGCGUUUGAGAACUUGUUCUACUAAAUCGGUGGUUAUGGCGGGUGAGAACGGGGUGAGGGCUGAAACGAUGUCGUGUCGGGGGCUACGGUAGUCGCUGAGGAUGCGAGAGAUGUCGUUGAUGAGUUGUGUUGAAGGAGGAGCAGGUGAGGGUUGAGAUUGAGAUGAAAAAGGUUUAAAGAAAUGAAGUUUAGGGUUUGUGGUGAAGAGACGGUUUAUGGUUUUUGUUUGCCGGGAGAAUGAUCUGAUUGCCAUAGUUGAACCAGUGUCAGUAAGCUCUAUUGAGUUCCAAAUGUGUUUGAAACCGCACACCAGAUGUAUGAUGAAAUGCUUCAAACACAAUACCAAGUUUUACACUCAACACACCCUUAAAACUCAGUUACCAUAUUUUCCCUUAAAAACAUCCCUUAAUUGCAUAUCUACCCAAGCCUAAAUAAAAAUUGCAUAUUUCCCUUUCUCUAUUAAAAUGACAAAAUCACCCUUUUCAAAAUUAAAGAUCUUGCUUAGAAGAAAAUCAGGUUCAUAGUUAUCAUUCACCAUUCACACCCACGACUCUUUAGCUUCUUUUACGGCGGUAAUUCUAGCGGCGUGUCUCAAAGAUUUGAGGUGUAAUAGAGAUAUAACGAUGCUUCAAUAAAGAAGGAAGAACACUCUCAACAUAAUCAAACUGGCCUUUUCGCUUACUGCAAUCUACUCUAACAGGUUCUUUCGAUGCUAUUUCUGCAGGAAACCCUAGCAUUACACACUACACAUCAGAUCCUCUUCGUUCAUCCUAUUGAAAUUGACUGAUAAUUCUUUUGGGUCGACAAUUCCCUAUCUUCAAGAUUUGGAAUCAAGUGAUGGAGUCGCAGAUUAUUGACAGCCAGGAUUGCUUCUGCUACGUUGACUAUCGUAAUUUCCACUUAGCGUCGUUACACAAACAACAACAACAAGCCCUAAGGAUUUUGUGGGUUUCUGCGUAUUGGAUCUUUUUACUGCUCCCAUGCACAAAUGUCGUCUCCAUCAAGGUGAUUUUGUAUCGGGCUGAUCAAAGAGAGUUUAUCGCAUCUGGAAAACCUCUACUUUCAUAGGGCUAAGCAACCAUACGCUCUCCUUUUGUCCCAAUCUUUGCUUUAUCGUAAACUACAGAAUAAUAUUGGGAGCUUGCUGAACGGGAUGCAGUCACUAGAGUCUUGCGUGCGUGGUGUGGAAUCAAAACUCGAUGAAAUUUUGUUUGACUUGGCAAAGUCAAUUAGAUGGGUGUCACAAGUUACCGGGUGUAGAUCUUUUUAGCUCUACACUCUGGAUGAAAUUAGAACAAGGAGCUUGAAUCUUCAAACCGCUCGAUUCCAUCUUCGUGUCGGGCUAAUUAAGAACCCCUUGACAGAGUCAUUUGGGGCUUUAUUGUGAUAUCUUGGAUGAAGUCAGAACUUUGAUCGUGUAUGGUGAUCAAACAAGGCUUCCACAAGCUUUGACCAACUUUUGAUCACUACAACCAUGAGGAAAUGUUCACAUAUGCAAUACCUAAUUAUUAUGUCAAUUGUCAAGAGCCGAAGAUCUUGAACAUCUAUGUUAAAGGGAAUUUAAAAUUGAAAUGCUCUUGCUUGGCUCAUUCACAACUGGUGCCAUUUUGUUGGUAGUUAUUUUUUGCCUUCAUGUUCCUUGUGAAGAAUUUUAAAACUAGCAUGAAACAUGAUCAAUAUCUACAGGAUGGACUCUCAGAGAUUAUAUAUUCAGGGCUAUGUUUGAUCCGUAACCAAGUCACUAAUAAACGGGUUAUGUUUAAUAUGGUUACUCUCAUCGGUAUUCUUGAAGUUGGAUGACGCUUUGAGAAAAGAAUUUUGCCCAGAAAAAGUUACCAUACACAUCUCCUAAUUCAAAUCACCAGUAAUAUUAAAAAGUUUGAAGAACAAUGGACUAAUUGCAAAGUAGAUGGAUGGAAGGAUAAGGCUCAAGAAAAUGAAUAUGUUCGUGAGCAAAAUACACCAGUUGAUCUAGACGAUUAUGGCAGAGUUGAUGAAUUGGUUGAAC